GAAAUGCGAUAAGUAAUGUGAAUUGCAGAAUUCAGUGAAUCAUCGAAUCUUUGAACGCACCUUGCGCUCCUUGGUAUUCCUUGGAGCAUGCCUGUUAGAGUAUCAUGAAAUCUUCAAAGUAAAUCUUUUGUUAACUCAAUUGGUUUCUACUUUGGUAUUGGAGGUCUUUGCAGCUUCACACCUGCUCCUCUUUGUUCAUUAGCUGGAUCUCAGUGUUAUGCUUGGUUCCACUCGGCGUGAUAAGUUAUCUAUCGCUGAGGACACUGUAAAAGGUGGCCAAGGUAAAUGCAGAUGAACCGCUUCUAAUAGUCCAUUGACUUGGACAAUACUUUUAUGAUCUGAUCUCAAAUCAGGUAGGACUACCCGCUGAACUUAAGC
rnacentral:misc_RNA from 1 species